UACGUAGGGGGCAAGCGUUGUCCGGAAUUAUUGGGCGUAAAGAGCGUGUAGGCGGUCCGGUAAGUCAGCUGUGAAAGUCAAGGGCUCAACCCUUGAAUGCCGGUUGAUACUGUCGGGCUAGAGUCCGGAAGAGGCGAGUGGAAUUCCCGGUGUAGCGGUGAAAUGCGCAGAUAUCGGGAGGAACACCAAUGGCGAAGGCAGCUCGCUGGGACGGUACUGACGCUGAGACGGCGAAAGCGUGGGGAGCAAAC
rnacentral:rRNA from 1 species